rnacentral:lncRNA from 1 species
CUUUGAUCACCUUCUCCAGGCUGUCAUCCUGCUCCCCCUGCACCUCUGCAGCUGCAAUGGCGUAUCCAGAGAAGUCCUCCCAGAGGAGCAGUGUCUCUUCCGUUUCCUCCCAUGUGAGGCUGUCACAGUCAUCUUCAAAAUCGUAUUCCCUCAGCUGGUUUAGCAUCCUCUGCAUUUCCUCAUUGAUACUCAUGGCUGUGGUCUCGUCCUCUUCUUCCUCAUCAGGCUUUCUGGAGGCAUCGCUCUCUGACAGUGAAGUAUCUUCAUCGCUGACCUGCUUCCGCUCCCGC